GAAUAAGUACAGCAUUUGUUCGUAAUUGAUGAAGUUCCAUUUCUAAAUUUGUCGUUAAUUAGUGCUAAAGUCGAACUAAGAAGAAACAUUCAAGGGAAGUCUGGCUUUGCAGUCAGCAUUUGCUACAACGCUGGAAAAGGUUCUCAUCUUCUUUUUAAAACUCGAUGCGCACCGUAUGUUGCUUGACGAGUUUCGUCGAGCCACAGCGAACCAGCAAAACCCGAGCAUCAGGCAAUCUCUCUACUCAUCUCUGGUAUUAAUCAAGAGCUACGAAGCUACAUUAUCUUCAUCAUUAUCGGAUGAAAUAAAAGAGUUAAUUUUUGUAUACCGAAUAAGUUUUACGACUACGCCUGGUUUUAAUGUACACACGUUGUGGACCACUGUCACUGUAACCUCAUUAAAAACUGCCACAUAUAUGUGACACUAGGCUGUGCAUACAUACGCAGAAUUUAAUUUUCUGUGAAAUCUACUUGA